UAGGGAAUCUUCGGCAAUGGACGAAAGUCUGACCGAGCAACGCCGCGUGAGUGAAGAAGGUUUUCGGAUCGUAAAACUCUGUUGGUAGAGAAGAACGUUGGUGAGAGUGGAAAGCUCAUCAAGUGACGGUAACUACCCAGAAAGGGACGGCUAACUACGUGCCAGCAGCCGCGGUAAUACGUAGGUCCCGAGCGUUGUCCGGAUUUAUUGGGCGUAAAGCGAGCGCAGGUGGUUUAUUAAGUCUGGUGUAAAAGGCAGUGGCUCAACCAUUGUAUGCAUUGGAAACUGGUAGACUUGAGUGCAGGAGAGGAGAGUGGAAUUCCAUGUGUAGCGGUGAAAUGCGUAGAUAUAUGGAGGAACACCGGUGGGCGAAAA
rnacentral:rRNA from 1 species